GGAGGGGUGUCCGAGCGGUUCAAGGAACUGGUCUUGAAAACCAGCGAUCUCGUAAGGGGUCCGUGGGUUCGAAUCCCACCCCCUCCGCCA
rnacentral:tRNA from 2 species